GAUGAACGCUGGCGGCGUGCCUAAUACAUGCAAGUCGAGCGAACAGAUGAGGAGCUUGCUCCUCUGACGUUAGCGGCGGACGGGUGAGUAACACGUGGAUAACCUACCUAUAAGACUGGGAUAACUUCGGGAAACCGGAGCUAAUACCGGAUAAUAUAUUGAACCGCAUGGUUCAAUAGUUAAAGACGGUUUUGCUGUCACUUAUAGAUGGAUCCGCGCCGCAUUAGCUAGUUGGUAAGGUAACGGCUUACCAAGGCAACGAUGCGUAGCCGACCCGAGAGGGUGAUCGGCCACACUGGAACUGAGACACGGUCCAGACUCCUACGGGAGGCAGCAGUAGGGAAUCUUCCGCAAUGGGCGAAAGCUUGACGGAGCAACGCCGCGUGAGUGAUGAAGGUCUUCGGAUCGUAAAACUCUGUUAUUAGGGAAGAACAAAUGUGUAAGUAACUAUGCACGUCUUGACGGUACCUAAUCAGAAAGCCACGGCUAACUACGUG
rnacentral:rRNA from 1 species